rnacentral:rRNA from 1 species
UACGUAGGAGGCAAGCGUUGUCCGGAAUUACUGGGCGUAAAGCGUGCGUAGGUGGUUUGUUAAGUCUGAUGUGAAAGCCCUGGGCUCAACCUGGGAAUUGCAUUGGAUACUGGCAGGCUAGAGUGCGGUAGAGGAUGGCGGAAUUCCCGGUGUAGCAGUGAAAUGCGUAGAGAUCGGGAGGAACAUCUGUGGCGAAGGCGGCCAUCUGGACCAGCACUGACACUGAGGCACGAAAGCGUGGGGAGCAAACAGG